rnacentral:rRNA from 1 species
CUACGGGAGGCAGCAGUGGGGAAUAUUGCACAAUGGGCGCAAGCCUGAUGCAGCCAUGCCGCGUGUGUGAAGAAGGCCUUCGGGUUGUAAAGCACUUUCAGCGAGGAGGAAAGCUUAAGCGUUAAUAGCGUUUAGGUGUGACGUUACUCGCAGAAGAAGGACCGGCUAACUUCGUGCCAGCAGCCGCGGUAAUACGAGGGGUCCAAGCGUUAAUCGGAAUUACUGGGCGUAAAGCGUACGCAGGCGGUUUGUUAAGCGAGAUGUGAAAGCCCCGGGCUCAACCUGGGAACUGCAUUUCGAACUGGCAGACUAGAGUCUUGUAGAGGGGGGUAGAAUUUCAGGUGUAGCGGUGAAAUGCGUAGAGAUCUGAAGGAAUACCGGUGGCGAAGGCGGCCCCCUGAACAAAGACUGACGCUCAUGUACGAAAGCGUGGGGAGCAAACAGGAUUAGAUACCCUGGUAGUCCACGCCGUAAACGAUGUCUACUCGGAAUUUGGUGUCUUGAACACUGGGUUCUCAAGCUAACGCAUUAAGUAGACCGCCUGGGGAGUACGGCCGCAAGGUUAAAACUCAAAGGAAUUGACGG